ACGGGAGGCAGCAGUGGGGGAUAUUGCACAAUGGGGGAAACCCUGAUGCAGCGACGCCGCGUGAAGGAAGAAGGCCUUCGGGUUGUAAACUUCUGUCGUACGGGACGAUAAUGACGGUACCGCACAAGAAAGCCACGGCUAACUACGUGCCAGCAGCCGCGGUAAAACGUAGGUGGCAAGCGUUAUCCGGAUUUACUAGGUGUAAAGGGAGCGUAGGCGGCUGAGCAAGUCAGAAGUGAAAGCCCGCGGCUUAACUGCGGGACUGCUUUUGAAACUGCCCAGCUUGAUUGCCGGAGAGGUAAGUGGAAUUCCUAGUGUAGCGGUGAAAUGCGUAAAUAUUAGGAGGAACACCAGUGGCGAAGGCGGCCUGCUGGGCUUUAACUGACGCUGAGGCUCGAAAGCGUGGGUAGCAAACAGGAUUAGAUACCCUGGUA
rnacentral:rRNA from 1 species